rnacentral:rRNA from 1 species
GACGAACGCUGGCGGCGUGCUUAACACAUGCAAGUCGAGCGGAGCGGCGAACGGGUGAGUAACGCGGGAGUAACUGCCCCCCUCUCUGGGAUAACAGUUGGAAACGGCUGCUAAUACCGGAUAGUGGGGGAUGGCUCGCGGCCUAUCGGCUUGUUGGUGGGGUGAUGGCCUACCCAGGCGGUGACGGGUAGCCGGCCUGAGCGGGUGACCGGCCACAUUGGGCUGAGAAACGGCCCAGGCGCGUACGGGAGGGAGCAGUGGGGGAUAUUGCACAAUGGGCGAAAGCCUGAUGCAGCGACGCCGCGUGGGGGAUGAGGGCUUUCGGGUUGUAAACCUCUUUCGCUAUCGAAAGGGUAGGUGGAGAAGAAGCGCCGGCUAACUACGUGCCAGCAGCCGCGGUAAUAC